rnacentral:lncRNA from 10 species
CGUUAUCCUCAGGAAGCCCUGAGCGCUGAGAGGCACUGUUACAGAACCGAACUGGGGUCCACUCGCUAGGCCUACCUAGGUGCCUGGAAUUUCCCUUCGAGGAACGCAGGAGUUUUCUUUAUUUUCAUGCUUGGGAAGGCUCAUUAGGCCCCUAAGAGAGGGUCCCUUCCCCAUCUCAGGACUAAAAUGCAAUGAAGAUGUUGCUCAGAGGCAGCUGGAGAGGGAUGGGUCUGUGGAGGAUGCCCCGCAGAGUGAAGUCGAGAUGAUGCAGCCACCAGGGCCGGAGGGGAGGGACAUUCCACUUUUUAAAUCAGCUUUCUGAAGCAUGAUCUCCAUAUAAUCACCUAGAAGCGUACAGCACAAUGAUCUUGACAGAUGCCAGCAUCCUUGGAACCACUGCCACCACCAACGUCUCAAACCAUUCCAUCAAACCCAGAACACUCCUGGUGCCCUGAAGCGUCUCCCUUCAGUGGCAGAACCAGCAGAGAUUCAGUGGUCACAAGGCUGGUCUGGAACUCCUGGGUGCAAGCGAUCCUUCCACCUCGGCCUCCCAAAGUGCUGGGAUUAGAGGCAUAAGCCACCGCGCCCAGCCAGGAAUGGAUUUUCUCACAGUUCUCGAUGGCGGAAGUCUGAGAUCAAGGUCUUGGCAGGGCUAGGUCUCUCUGAGGCCUUUCUCCCCAGCUUAUAGGUCGCCGCCUCCUCUCUCUGUCUUUCCUUGUCUUCCUUGUGUCCACAGUUGUGUCCAAAUUCCCCUUUCUCAUAAGGACGUCAGUCAUGUUGGAUUAGGGCCCUCCCUCCUGACCUUGUUUUAGCUUAAUCUCUGCAACUUAACCCUUAACCUCAGUAAAGAUCCUAUUUCCAAAUGUGUUCACAUUCUGAGGUCCUGAGGAUUAGGACUUUGAAAGGAUUAAAACAGGCUCUUCUGGCAUAUUGACAAUUUCAGCUAAAGACUCUUGAGAAACAGCAGGUGCAAAAAGAUCACAGUGACCUCCAUGCUGUACCUUGAGAUGAAAUUCCAAUGCGAAAGAUGCCCUCUCCACCCUAGAAGGGAAAGCAACAUCCUUAUCUUUGGGAGUGAAAAGUCCAAACUGAGAGCAUACUGUGAGUACCUCAUUAGCAUCAUUCCAUUCUCUGAGCUUCCCCGCAGACUUCAGUUGCUUCUUCACAGCUCUGCUCUUUGUCCCGUCCAAUCUCUGAGUAACUAACUCACUGCUUCUGCAGGUCUUCAUUUCUGCAGGAGGGCUCCCAUGCUACAUAAAUCCUGCAUUACACUUUUCUCCUGUUAGUCUAUGUUAUGUCCAUUUAAUUCUCAGGCCCAGCCGGGACCCUAAGAGGACAGAGGUGGAGUUUUUCCACCCCUACAACUUUACCCAAUCACAAUUCAAUCCUAACAGUGCCUUUCUCUGGAGGGGCUCUGCCAGCAUGAAUUCCUUUACGGGUGGAAGCCUCACAGUCCAGUCUACCAGUGAGGUCCACAUGGGAUUGGCUGGAGGGAGCUACGAAGUCAAGCGGCGUCAGGUACAGAGAAACAAAUCCCACAUCCAAGGGCCAGGAGGCGGUAGAGCAAACCACGCACAGCCGGGUGACUUAAGGGCAAGGAAGUCUUCCUGCAGGAGGUGAAUUUGGCACAAGGGAUACGUUUUUAGGCCCUGAGUGGAGGAUCUGGGUUUCAAACUGGACUUUUGAAAAACACACUCUUAUUGUAGAAGGGCCUGCGGGUUUGUUUUAAUCACUUCUCAAAGCUACGCUAGGCAUUCGCAGCUCAGGAUCCCCAGUUUAGCCUAAUAAAAAAAAGUAAUUACAUCAUAUUACAGAUAAUUUGAUUGUGUCUGAGACGAUAAUUGAGUUAAAACGCUUAUUGUAACAGACACAUCAGAUUGGCAAGGAGGAAGCUCGGCUUAAAUACAAACAGUGUUGAGAGUGGAAUUAAAGGAUUGCCAUUGCAGUU